CACAAUGGCAGGUGGACCUAUCAGUGAUUGCGUGCUUGUUUAUUCGGGAUGUGGAUGGCACUGCGGUCUAAACCACUGAGCCUCUUGGGCUUGCCGAUCAGAAGGGUGGCAGUUUGGAUCCCCGCAACAGGGAUAUCUAUAUGCGGUAUCUAUAGAAUGAGUGUGAAUUCGGUUCUUUCAAGGAGUUCAAAUUAUCCCUUGUCUGACUGACAAAGAAUUGUUUUUGUUCCAGGUGGCAGCACAUGGAUAAAUGACAGCUACGAUGCAAUUGUUGGGAAGUACAACUUUUAAAAAUUAUACUUCCUGCCUGCCUUGUACCUAUUACCAGAUGAUCAUUUUAACAUGUGUUGUGAAUCUCAAUACACAAGUAAAAGAAUUGGCA